UAGCUGCAAGCCCUGGAGGAUAUCUCAACUAAUUGGGCCUCAGAAGGAAAAAGUACCAGCACAUGAAUAGUUUCUACUCUGAAAUGGAACAUACUUUCACUUCCAUGUGAAUACGCCUUAGCCCACAAUCUUCAGAUUGAGAAAUAAAUUAAUGGGAGUGCUCUGAACUGACUCCAAGUAGGAUGACAAGUGCUACCCAUUUUCUUGAAUGAGGGCACUACUAAUAAAAUUGAAGCAGCACAUUCAAAUUAAACCAGCAAGAUUAAAGAGCAAUUUGUCAGUGAAACAUCUAUCCAAAUACGUACAUCAGCCUUGGAAUCAUACUCCAUGGACAUCCUAGUAUAUAAUGGCCGAUUAAAACGCAGCAAGCUGUUAAGGUGAACCCGGACAAGUUAUGCGCAGUGGAUUUCAACCAUUAGCAAAGAGAUUCAAGAAUCAACCCUGUGGGAUGCUGGAAUUCAAUACUCGCAAUCAUACUAAUGAAUAAAAUGCC